CCCCUUCGUCUAGCGGUUAGGACUCCGCCCUUUCACGGCGGCAACAGGGGUUCGAAUCCCUAGGGACGCCACUUGCU
rnacentral:tRNA from 1 species